rnacentral:tRNA from 3 species
GCCCCCGUAGCUCAGCGGAUAGAGUGUCGGCCUCCGGAGCCGAAGGCACAGGUUCGAGUCCUGUCGGGGGUACCA